rnacentral:lncRNA from 1 species
CUGGUGCCUUGAAAGCAUCUCUCGACUUUUAGAACAUGACUGAGGCAGCUAUAAUCAGGUCUUAACUAUUAAGAGCAUGAUACCAGUGUUAUGAAUUUUAAAUCAAAUUUUAAAAAUGGUUUCUAUACCUAAUACAUCAUUAAGAGUGAAAUAUUCUCAAAAAGAUAAAUUUGCCAUUUGAAAGUACUUCUAUCUUGACAAAGACAUUUCAUAAUGACUCCAACUCCUAAUUACUAGUUCACAUUGUUUCAUUAUUUAAAAAAUGUGUUCUUGCCAUUCUAUACCUAAGGAUGAAGCCCCUUUCGACAACUAGAUUUGAUGAGUUAAAAAAUAACCCAACCAUUAUGAAUUAGGGCUUAUAUCAAUGCCUUUUUCUUUUUGUAGAACAUAGCUCAGAAAUAUGCACAAAACACAGUUGUUGACCCAUAGCUAUUUAUCUAUGGCUAAUACUGUUAAUGUGCACUAGUCCUGUAUUUACUCAACUUAUGCUGUGUUUGCUUUAUUAAUAUUUGUAGAAAUAGGUUCCUUCUAGUUCUG